rnacentral:rRNA from 1 species
UACGAAGGGGGCUAGCGUUGUUCGGAAUUACUGGGCGUAAAGCGCACGUAGGCGGACUAUUAAGUCAGGGGUGAAAUCCCGGGGCUCAACCCCGGAACUGCCUUUGAUACUGGUAGUCUCGAGUCCGGAAGAGGUGAGUGGAAUUCCGAGUGUAGAGGUGAAAUUCGUAGAUAUUCGGAGGAACACCAGUGGCGAAGGCGGCUCACUGGUCCGGUACUGACGCUGAGGAGCGAAAGCGUGGGGAGCGAACAGG